rnacentral:lncRNA from 1 species
UAAGAGCUGCUCCAUUUCCUCUAGGAUUAUUGUGAAGUCACUGGCUUCGUCCUUACAUAAGGUUUGCUGUUCCAGGAACUGGACACUCUCCUCUUCUUUCAGCUUCAACUUCACCUUCAAGGCCUGAAAGGGAAAUCAUCCCAGAGGGAAACCCAUAACACAACUCUUACAACAAAGACAGCACCCAGACCAGACCAUUAUACCCAUGCUACAUAGAGGGGGGCGACCCCAGUACCAGACAGCAUCUUAUUUCCCACCUUAAAAUUUAUCUGGGCUGGCUGUGGGAAUUUCCCUACUCUGUAUUUAAACUGAAACAAUGAAACCAUCUGUGUCUCCUGCCCCACCAUUUGUCUGGCAAUCGGAAGGCGUCCAAGAAUCUCACCAUGUGGACCAGGCUUCAAACGUACGCAGACCCCUGCUGCCUCUGUGAUAGAAGGGAUCAAAUUCAGACAGCAACGCUUGUACGGCAAGGACCUUAAUCCACCGACCAGCCAUCUUAAGCCUCUGACCACCCUUCCCCUCCAUCCUAAAACAUUAAAAAAAAAUUCUAAUGUGCAUGUGAAGACAUGUGUGCAUGCACUGUGAGAUGUGUGUGGAGGCCAGAGGGCGACUUGGGGAACUGGGUUUUUCCUUCCAUCACACCGGUUCUGGGAUCAAACUUGUUUGUGAGACUUGCAACAAGGACUUUUACCUACUGAGCCAUCUCAACAGCUUUCUACUAUUUAAAAAAAAAAAACAAAACCAUUUAUUUAAUUACUUGUAGGGAAGGGGAGAAUUUAUACCACUCUGUGGAGGUCAGAGGACAAAGUGAAGGACCCAGUCCAGGUCAUCAGGCUUGGUGACAAGACCCUUUACCUGCUCCUCCAUCUCAAAUG